GUCCAGGGAUGGGAAUCGAACUCACGGUUUUCCGCUUUAGAAAGACUAAGAAAUGGCCAUAUAAAAACCUUAAAAUUUCAAAAUGGACAAAAAAACUUCAAUAACUGUUUGAAAUGCAAUAGUGCGGAAGCUUGUCUGGAACAUAUCAUGCUUAGAACUAACAUAGUGUUCCGUUUACCGGGCAGAUGCCAUGUCCACUAGGCUACCCUGGA